GACGAACCGAGCGAACGUUGUUCGGAAUCACUGGGCUUAAAGGGCGCGUAGGCGGGCUGUCAAGUCUGGGGUGAAAUCCCGCGGCUCAACCGUGGAACUGCCUCAGAUACUGACGGCCUCGAGGGGGGUAGGGGCGAGCGGAACGGAUGGUGGAGCGGUGAAAUGCGUUGAUAUCAUCCGGAACUCCGGUGGCGAAGGCGGCUCGCUGGACCUCUUCUGACGCUGAGGCGCGAAAGCCAGGGGAGCAAACGGG
rnacentral:rRNA from 1 species